rnacentral:sRNA from 1 species
UACCCUUUUCUUUGAAUUACAAUGCCUAACUUCUUUGAAUUCCAAACCCUUUACUACACUAACACUUUUUGUAUCCCCCUUAAGAACUCUAAACUUUUACUCU